CGGACCAAGAUGGCGACCGCUGCUGCUCGAGACAGGGUCCCUUACACGGAGCUCAGCAUUCCAGCUCAACUGGCUGACAGCAAGCCCCUAGGAUCUGCCUGUCUCUGCUUCCCACUGUUGGGGAUUCAGGUGCAUGCAGCUGUACCAGGCAUUGAAAUGGAUGCUGGGGAAUCUUAAUUCUUAUUUUCGUAUAGUCCACACAUUUGCUGUGAAGACUAUGAAACUCCACCUUUGCCUCAUGCUGGAUCAUAUCUUCCACAGUGUGGCCAAGGCUACAGUUUUGUCCGAGUGAAUAUCUCUGAAAAAUUAAGAGAACUUCUCAGCCUGCUGGCAAUAGCAUGGAGCUGUGCCUCUCCUUCCAUCUUCCCUGGCAUCUUCUCACGGAAAAGCUUUCAUUUUAAUACAUGUGCUUAUUAAAGGAGACAAGAAGAAGAUCACAGCAGAGCCAGCUUUUUAGACUACACAGCAUGAGGUAGAAGCCACUCACUGCACCUCAACUUCAUAUUAACGUGUCACAGAACUUUUUCUCCAGGGUCUAUUGUUAUACCUGAGUUGCCACAUUUCUAAUCUGAAGAUUUUUGAUGACGAUUGCCAGAAACAGAGGAAAACGAGUAGUGGAUGCAAGCAGUGUGACAAAGUUAUUGACUUUAUUUUCUGAAGGGCUGUCUGUGAGGAUUGCUCCCUGGGUGUGCGGUAGAUGAGGACCACUUCCAUGUUGGCUAUGUCUGAGGCUUAAAAUCAUCAAACUGGGCAUCCUCUCUGUCUCAGAAUGAGAGAGCAAUGGGUUGUCCUAGUCUCAGCAUUAUUUGCACAGGGAGGGAAAGUGCUUCGGAAGGACUGUUGUCAGAGAUGUUUCUAAUACCCAGCACUAAGCCAAUGACUUUGGAAACUGGGUUCUAGGGACCCACGUGGAUCAUGUAAGUGAUAAUAGCAUCUGUUAUUGCUGCAUUUUAAUGAACAUGAUUUUAUUUUCUCACAUAAACCUGUGAUUAAGGCAGGCAUGGAUAAUGCCAGUUUACAGAUGAACCCAAACCAGAGAUAUGAGUUGUUUAGUGCUUCAGCCAACCUCAGUGAGGAGAGCCCUGAGAAGGCCUGGAUACCUGAGGGUUUCCGGGAGAUUGAGGACUCCAGCCUUUACAGAGCAUCAUGCGAGGUGGAGAGAGUCUAACUGUUAAAAUCCAUGCUCCACAUUCCAGAGAAAUGUUCACAAGUCGAGGCUCAUCCAGAUUCUCAAGAAAAAGGAUUUAGAUUCAGGACUUCUUUGUUGUUUCUGCUACUGGUUUAAUUAGAAAUAGAUGUGGCAAAUGCCAAGUGUUUUUAAAAAAACGGUAGCAGCAGAGCAAUGCCUGGUCUUAUGUUCCCCAUACCUGUACCCUUCCAGGUCUCGCCUCUCACACAGUGGUGUACAUAACUCUGAAUCUCUUAACAUGUCUCAAAGGUUAUUUCAUGUUUCUGUACAGAUACCACUCUUUACUAA